AAACAGACSAAUUAASGCUUAACGAGCGAGACUUGGGCGUGCUAGCUAGGCGCUGUUACCAUUUCCGGUAGCGAGGCGGCCUUCCUAGACGGACUGCGGGCGUCUAGUCCGCGGAAGCUCCAGGCAACAGGUCUGUG
rnacentral:rRNA from 1 species